CCUACGGGAGGCAGCAGUGGGGAAUAUUGGACAAUGGGGGGAACCCUGAUCCAGCCAUGCCGCGUGUGUGAAGAAGGCCCUCGGGUUGUAAAGCACUUUCAGUGAGGAAGAACGCCUGGUGGUUAAUACCCAUCAGGAAAGACAUCACUCACAGAAGAAGCACCGGCUAACUCCGUGCCAGCAGCCGCGGUAAUACGGAGGGUGCGAGCGUUAAUCGAAAUUACUGGGCGUAAAGCGCGCGUAGGUGGCUUGAUAAGCCGGUUGUGAAAGCCCCGGGCUCAACCUGGGAACGGCAUCCGGAACUGUCAAGCUAGAGUGCAGGAGAGGAAGGUAGAAUUCCCGGUGUAGCGGUGAAAUGCGUAGAGAUCGGGAGGAAUACCAGUGGCGAAGGCGGCCUUCUGGACUGACACUGACACUGAGGUGCGAAAGCGUGGGUAGCAAACAGGAUUAGAUACCCUUGUAGUC
rnacentral:rRNA from 1 species